rnacentral:rRNA from 1 species
AUGGAGGAAGUGGAGGAGGCCAACAGGAUGGCCGUGGCGAGCUGCCACCGAGUGCUUGGCCUGCUCACCCAGACCCAGGACCCGGCGCAGCUCAGGAGCAUAGCUCUGGGGACGGACGAAGCCUGUGCCAAGUUCAGGAAGGUGGUUUCCCUCCUCGGCAACGGCAACGAAGGAGGGGGAACCCAUCCCAGAGCCAAGCUUGUGAGCAGAAGGCAGACCCCCGGGUUCUUGAGCCAGAAGAGCUUCUUGGACAACAACACCCCGGUGGUGGUGCUGAACAGUGCGCACCCUUCGACCAGCUCUGCGCAGGUGUAUCCUAGAAACAGCAUUUUGGAUUCACAGCCCGCGCACCCAAUCGGAGGGCUUCCCAAGCUGGUCCAGCCAUUGUCCGCGCAUUUCCAGUUCGGCGAUUCGUCGCGGUAUAAUCAGUUCCAGCAGCAUCAGCACCAGCAGCAGAAGAUGCGGGCCGAGAUGUUCAAGAGAAGCAACAGCGGGAUCAACUUGAAGUUUGACAGCCCCAGUGGCACGGGGACAAUGUCGUCCGCGAGGUCCUUCAUGUCAUCUUUGAGCAUGGAUGGCAGCGUGGCCAGCCUGGAUGCCAAGUCUUCCUCGUUCCAUUUGAUCGGCGGGCCUGCCAUGAGCGACCCGGUGAAUGCACAGCAGGCUCCAAGGAGAAGAUGCUCGGGACGUGGGGAGGAUGGAAAUGGCAAGUGUGCUGCAACUGGCAGGUGCCAUUGCUCAAAGAGAAGUAGGAAGUUGCGGGUGAAGAGGACGAUUAAAGUUCCCGCAAUUAGUAAUAAAAUUGCUGAUAUACCUCCAGAUGAAUACUCCUGGAGGAAGUAUGGGCAGAAGCCAAUUAAGGGUUCCCCUCAUCCCAGGGGGUACUACAAAUGCAGCAGCGUGAGGGGUUGCCCUGCGCGGAAGCAUGUUGAACGUUGCGUGGAUGAUCCAUCGAUGCUCAUUGUGACAUACGAGGGUGAACAUAACCAUACGCGAAUGCCAACUCAGUCUGCGCAAGCUUAG